GUCAUUCGUCUUUGUCAUUCAGAGGAUAAAGAUGCUGAAGAAGAAAGGAGCAAAAUGCCUGAUGCCUCAGGAUUUGUGGACUCUUCCAUGUGAAGCCUGGAAGGGGCUUUGCAGAUUAGGAUCAGCAUUUAGAGUGACCUCACCACGUAUGUAUGUGGAAUUAGGACGAAGGUGUGUAGGAUGCUGAAUUAACUGGACCAAGGUUAAAAAUCCCAGCGUGGCCUCUUACAAACUGCUUGACUCUGGGAAAAUUCCUUAUACCUUCCAAUCCUUAGGUCCUUCAUCUGAAAAAUGGGAUGCUACCACGCCUGUCUCAUGGAGCUGCUGUUAGCUAAAAUGAAACAAAGGAGGAAAAAGCCCUUUGCACAGUCUGGAGCAUUACCAGAGUCCUGGAAUAUUUCCAGCAAAUGUUGGUUCAUGUCCUCUUCACAUGCAAAGGGAAAGCGACUUGUCACAAAAGCCGGGUCCCCUUGAGCAGGCCUACAGGGCAAGCUUUGUUUGGGUUGAGGCUGCCAGGACUCAAACGGCACCCUGACUCUGAAAAUGAUUAUUCAGAGUGCUGCAUUUUUGCCUCUGUGAAGCCAAUAUCCUGACUAUGUUGGUGUUAGGAGCCUAACCUGUGAUUUCGCUUUCUUGUGGUUGGGAGAUGGACUGGACGGUCCCUGACAGACCCAUGGGGAGCUGUCCAAACAAAGUUGAGAGAGUGGACUGUGAUCCAUGGGCAGUAUCUCUGUGCUCCUGUGCCAACAGCAGUAAUGAUCGAUCAGUCAAUCAGCAAACCAAAAAAUAAAAUCAUGGAUGUUUUCUACAUGCCGGACACUGUGCCAGAGAUUUUUUGGAGGUCUAAAUCUCUGUUGGAUUUGCCAGUUCCCCUUCUGCCUUGGAGAAGGCCCCAAAGGAUUCUUUGCAGGUGACUGGAACCGAGAGUCACCCCGCUGUCAGCGGUGCCUGGAAGCUGUCUGUGCAAAGCAGAAUUUUGUCCCUAUGUCUUCCCGAUUCCCAGGCAAGCUGGCUGUGAAAGCAUUCAUGGAUGCUGGGACAUCGCUGCAAGAAGCUGAGGCUACUGCUGCUCAUCUCCAGGGCAGGGAAUGGGCAGCCUCUCCUCCAGCACGAGAGCCUGGGUUCCGCUCCUUCCUCCCGAAGGGACUUAAAGAAGAAAUCACACAGGGGAAGGCCUCAGCUGUGGGAGGCUGGAGCAGCAAAGCCAAUAAACCCAGCUUUAUUUGUAAUGUGCCUGUGCUUGUUAUUUUGUUAGCCUCUACUCUGCUUCUUUGGAGCAAUGAAACAAGGAAAAGAAAAGAAAAAAAAGAAAGAGCCCCGCUCUAA
rnacentral:lncRNA from 1 species